GAACGAGACCUUCGGGUCUAGUGGCGCACGGGUGCGUAACGCGUGGGAAUCUGCCCUGGGGUACGGAAUAACUCAGAGAAAUUUGAGCUAAUACCGUAUGAUGACGUAAGUCCAAAGAUUUAUCGCCCUGGGAUGAGCCCGCGUAGGAUUAGCUUGUUGGUGAGGUAAAGGCUCACCAAGGCGACGAUCCUUAGCUGGUCUGAGAGGAUGAUCAGCCACACUGGGACUGAGACACGGCCCAGACUCCUACGGGAGGCAGCAGUGGGGAAUAUUGGACAAUGGGCGAAAGCCUGAUCCAGCAAUGCCGCGUGAGUGAUGAAGGCCUUAGGGUUGUAAAGCUCUUUUACCCGGGAAGAUAAUGACUGUACCGGGAGAAUAAGCUCUGGCUAACUCCGUG
rnacentral:rRNA from 1 species